UGGGGAAUUUUGGACAAUGGGGGCAACCCUGAUCCAGCAAUGCCGCGUGAGUGAAGAAGGCCUUCGGGUUGUAAAGCUCUUUUGUCAGGGAAGAAACGGUCUAGGCUAAUAUCCUGGAUUAAUGACGGUACCUGAAGAAUAAGCACCGGCUAACUACGUGCCAGCAGCCGCGGUAAUACGUAGGGUGCAAGCGUUAAUCGGAAUUACUGGGCGUAAAGCGUGCGCAGGCGGUUAUGUAAGACAGAUGUGAAAUGCCCGGGCUCAACCUGGGAACUGCAUUUGUGACUGCAUAGCUAGAGUGUGUCAGAGGGGGGUAGAAUUCCACGUGUAGCAGUGAAAUGCGUAGAUAUGUGGAGGAAUACCGAUGGCGAAGGCAGCCCCCUGGGAUAACACUGACGCUCAUGCACGAAAGCGUGGGGAGCAAACAGG
rnacentral:rRNA from 2 species